CUUCGUGGUUCUGUAGAAUAAGCUGCUUACUUCGUGUCCCUGGGAUUAUUCAUGUAGACCCCGUAGAUAUUUCAUUUUGUUUCCUUCUCGAAAAACACUUUCUGUUUAAUCUAUCUAGGCAAUGAAAAAUAACGCCAAAAACUUUGUCUCUCAGACAAGUAAGUUUUCCCUUAAGAAUGGCGAGUAAGUUGUUCGGAUCAAGAAUCACAGAAUACAUUCCAUAAAAAUGUCACUUCAACCCCUUCCUAAGUGGGAGGAAAGAAAGAAGGCCUCCCUGAAAGCAACAUGCAAGCGGGCAAACAAUGUGUAGCCCAAAAAGCUGCUUCUUACAUUGAGGAAAACUGGAAAU